rnacentral:lncRNA from 1 species
CAUCCUUGGUUUGAGAGCAUGGAGAGAGGAAGAAGUGGGGAGUGACUUGAGACGCCAUGAGCAUAAGGUUGCCCCAGCCAUCCCUCCUUCUCAAGAGGUGGGCGCCGCGGCAGCUGCCAGCAAGUACGCCGUUUCAAGAAGAAUGGUUCCUCAAGGUCCAAACCCUCUCCACAACAGAUGAGAUGAGCAGCAUGCUGGUGGUUCUGGUAUGUUCACCAAUCAGGCGGCUAGCUCAUCUGCAGGUGUAGCUCCAAGCACUCACAAAAAUACCUUUUCAUGUCCUUUUAGCUAGAAUGGUACAGAUGCAUAUAUGCUUACUACUACCAGUGUAGCGUGUUUUGUUGUAAUGUCAGGCUUUGUAUAUAGAUUUUUCUUUAUCAUGUUAGGGUGUAAAUAAAAAUUGUUGCGCUCGAUCUAGCUUGAACGCUUACGCAUCAUAUCGCUGGAGCUUGUAUUGUGUUGUACACACGACAGAGAGAUUCGAUCAGGAGUUUUGCUUUAGCCGAAGAAAGGCUGAUUAGACAGUGCAAUGUUUGGAUGGUUACUUGCCUGUUUUGUUGUGUCAAGUGUGCAAGUAAUGUGUGAUCCGAGAUGGUUGCGUUAUCUGUUGGUAGUUGAAGGGCUUCCAUCUGCAGAAAGCAAUCUGCUGCUGGCAUGAAAGUAAUAGCUAAUAAGCUCAUGUGUGAAUGAAAAAUGGAAAGCAAAUUAAAUCAGCUAGGCGUGCAAUGGUCUGUUUUUUUUUUAAUCUAGUUUGGACACGCUAGCUAGCAGGAGGGAGGAAAGGAAAGCCUGACAUUAGAGCUGGAGCAUGUGAGCUGAGCGGUGAGAAAAAAAUAUGGGUCAGCAUCUCCCGGAGGACGCGCUGAUGGGACAGUGAUUAGGUGCAAAUAUGAUUGAAAUUCUUCUUGUUCGUGUUACCCAAGCAGGUUACACGAUGCAGUUGAAUUUGGCGUACACAUCAUGACUAGUGGUACUUUAAUGUUGUUUUAAUUUUUAAUCUUGGAGAAAGAGUAUGUAUGUAAAAACUUGAUGUUUUCAUGGUGAUGUGGUGUCAUGGGGGCAGCAGCUGGUUGUCGCAAGAGAGAGAUAGCAUUGGUCAAAGCUCGAGAUCCAAGGUAGAUUAUGCAAAAAAUAUUGGGAGGGGCUUGCACUGCUUGCUGCGCCGUGUGAAUUGUGAACCGGCAAACUAGCUCGGCCAUCGUCCAUCCCCCUUUUUCUCAUCAUAUGAACAACACCGUAUGGUGUGCUCCAUAUGAAUGGAGGACUAGGAGACACCACCAAUACAAUACAACCCCAUACUGAUGAGAGUAAUGCGCUGGUUGUUGCUUAAUUGCAUAUGCUAUGACAUGAGCUAGCUAGCCAUGCAUCAGAAUGAGGAACCGGGCACGUGGCACGUGCGCAUCUUCUGACUGCCAGGUAGCUGACGACUGUUGUGUGACCUAGAUGAUGCGCUGAUGUGCAUGCCGGUUUGUUGGCUGCAACAUCAACACAACACCCUUGCGGCCGGUCUUGGCUUUGUCGGCUGACUGAUGGCCCAAUUGCCUGCAACCGCCUCUCACAUCUGUCUCUCGGGCGGCUGCCCAAAGAGCAAAGCAAAAUCAAAAUUAGUUCUUCUAAAAUUCUACAUCCACCAACCAAACAAAACCAUGCAAAGAAGAAGCAUAGGCACGGUGUUGGCAGGCAAGGCUUCAGGCAACGCUGAGCUGCCCCCGGUGCCUCUUUAUUCUACUUAACCUGCUUACCUCAGACAACAGAGGGUACUCUGAUGCACGAGCAUAAGCAAUUACAACGUCUCCAGCGCAGUGCUGGUGCCUGCCUGCUGUUGUGUACCAUCCAUCAUCUGAGCUGUGUACCACGCCAAGCAGCUCUCACAGUUUCAGGCAGUGACCGUGUUCUUUAACCACUGCCAACUUCAUUGUCGAUGUUUUGCACAAACAAAUGGGUAGCAGUUGCAUAACUAAUCACAAGGCAAGGAAGUUCAAGCCUGUUUAAUAGUACACAGCAACAUAAUAUGCAUGUUUAAUACAUAUCCAGGAACAUCAAGACAGGAUCAGAAGAAUCAGGCCAUAUAUUGACAGAUAUGGAACUCGCACAAACGGCAGCCUGUGAAUCCCAUGCUCUCCUUUGGAGCAGCAGCAGUUAACAUGGUUCAGAAUAAACGAAAGAGCAUUAUACUAACUAUCAUCCAGGUGAACAAAUGAGGCAAUUUUCAUGUGCGGUUUGGAAGUAAUCAGGCCACCACCAAGCCGACAGAUCCCAAUGAAUCACAAAGUAUGCACCAAUUGACAGGAUGACAAUUUGAUGAUAGAAACAAAUCAUACAGUUGUUGGUGGGCAUCCAGUGCCAUCGCAUGAUGGAAAUUGAUGCAUAUAUUGAGUCAAUUGAAACGACAGGGUUACCAAAGAUAUUCACACGAAGGGACAGAUACGGGGAUUGCAUUGCACACAAGAGCACACGACUUAUUUGGGAACGAAGGGUAGGCGAGAGAGAGAACAGACAGCAGCUAGUAGAGUUCACGACACCAUAAGAUGAGGAGUAUACAACUAGCAGUAUUAGGAAGAGUCUAGUAGGACUGUAGGAGGUGAGGUGACAAGAAGCAAGUGAUCCAUUCAUACGGGCGGCAGGGGCGGCUGCUCUUGCUUCUGGUCCUUGCACUCGGGGAGGGGCUGUGGUCGGUGGGCUUAGAGGCGGCGGUGGCGUCGUCGUGGCGGGGCGCGGAGGAGAGGAUGAGGGGCCGGUCCUUGGCCUCCUCCUCCUCGUCGCGGUCGUCGUCGUCGUCGGUGGAGAGGUUGAUGCAGGAGCAGCGCUCGAGGGAGGCGAAGAAGGCGGAGGCCACGCUGGUCCCGACCCAGGUCGCCCAGCUCUCCAUGGCCGCCGGCGAUCUAGGGUUCGGCGGCGGGGGGAAGGGGGUUGGUCAAACCAAACGCGGAGACCCGGGGGGGGGGGGGGUGCGGGGCGAGGAGGAGGAGUCCACCAGACAAUAGAAGACGACUAGUAGUAGUAGUAGUAGUAGGUGGCACGCACGCACGCCCGCCAGGACUGGGCCAGGCCCACCCGGCAGAGCCCAGCCGUUGGCCUUGGCCCUUCUUUUUUUCCCUUUUCCUUUUUCACUCCGUCCCGGAGUCCCUUCCUUUCCUUUCACCUGCAGGCACCAGGCAGUUCCACACACCUUCACUCGAAAUUGUCAGCAGACAUUCCCGUGACGGUGCACCAGAACGAUAAUGUAGACCGCACAAGAAAAGCCAUCAUAACAACUUGUCCAACAAAUCACGAGGUCCAUGCCAAACCAUAACCAACAUCGCAUCAAAAAGCUUGCGUUUAUUUUAGACUCCAAACAUGAUACAUUGCAAAGUACUCUCCAAUCUAUAUAUGAUGACGAUGCAUGUCACCUACGGCAGAGGUACAUGUCGCCUCGGCUCACAGCACAAAGGAUGAACACUGGAUACCACUCAAAACUGCUGGCUGCUUUACUUUAUGUUCCUUGUGUGUAUCGCGCUUCUAGGUUUCGGCGUUUGUGCGCGGGAAAAAAAAGGCAAUUCUCCAGGAUAAUCUUAAGGCUUGAGCAACUUCUUGUAAUCCUUGAACGUGCCCGAGAAUGGGGUCACCCUGCCAUCUGACACCACCCAAAGCUCGUCCACGCUUCCAGUUAUGAGAUGCUCGUCGUGACUCACCUGCAAAACCAGUCGUCAGACACUCUUCUCCUUUGGGCACAAACACCACUAAACUGUCGACACUACACUGAAAGAAACAUCUUGCCGCCUUACCAUUAGCACUCCACCCUGGAACACCAGUAAACCUUGGAUGAGCGCCUCAACUGCGUCCAGAUCCUGCAACCCAGGGAUUUCAGUUCAGAACCAACCUAGAAAAAUAGAAGGAAAAAGAAAAGAUAAUGUGCCAUGAUUUCCUCACCAGAUGGUUAGAAGGCUCAUCGAGAAGUAUAAUGUGUGGUUUCUUGAAUGUGAUUUUCGCGAAUGCAACCCUACUCUUCUGACCACCUGAAGUUGCAAUUGCUUUAAUCAGGAUCGAGUAAUUUAAAAUCCUAAAUGCAGAUGAUCCCUUAACAAUUUGUCAAAACUGACAGUCAUAAACUAGUAGCAUAUUUCAUCACCUAAAACCUCCUAUGAUAUUGGUAUGAUGUCUACCUGACAAAGUAUACAUAGGUUGGAGGGCAAGAUUUCCUGAAACACCAAAGGAACCUAGAUGUGCCCUCAACUUCUGCUCAGGUACACCCUGCAAACAGGUUAAGUUUGUAUUUGAGUUCAGUAUCAAAUAGAUAUAGAGAACAUUCAUCUUAGCUAUCCACCAGGUUAAGUUUCAUAUCCUAUAGUAACCAAAGAUGAUGCUUGAACUUACCGGAUAGCACCUCAUCAUGUACAGAAGGGGAUUCACCGUUAAAUCAAGCCCAUCAACAUGAUGUUGGUUGAAUACAGCCAUGCGGACCUGUAAAGCAACCAGAAAAAAAAAA